rnacentral:rRNA from 1 species
GACGAACGCUGGCGGCGUGCUUAACACAUGCAAGUCGAACGGAAAGGCCCUGCUUUUGUGGGGUGCUCGAGUGGCGAACGGGUGAGUAACACGUGAGUAACCUGCCCUUGACUUUGGGAUAACUUCAGGAAACUGGGGCUAAUACCGGAUAGGAGCUCCUGCUGCAUGGUGGGGGUUGGAAAGUUUCGGCGGUUGGGGAUGGACUCGCGGCGUAUCGGCUUGUUGGUGGGGUAGUGGCUCACCAAGGCUUUGACGGGUAGCCGGCCUGAGAGGGUGACCGGUCAGAGGGGGAGCGGGGCAAGGUGGGGACUAAGAAGGGACGCAGCAGCGGGGGGGAGGGGACAGUGGGAGAAAGGGUGAAGUGGCGGGGAGCCGAGGGGGGCGGAGGCGUUCGGGGGGUGAAGCCCUUGGGUUAGUAAACCAGGUCCGCCUGGUACGUGGGUGGGUUGACGGUAGUUGGAAAAGAAGCGCCGGCUAACUACGUG